UACGUAGGGGGCCAGCGUUGUCCGGAAUCAUUGGGCGUAAAGAGCGUGUAGGCGGUCCGGUAAGUCCGCUGUGAAAGUCGGGGGCUCAACCCUCGAAUGCCGGUGGAUACUGUCGGGCUAGAGUGCGGAAGAGGCGAGUGGAAUUCCUGGUGUAGCGGUGAAAUGCGUAGAUAUCUGGAGGAACACCGGUGGCGAAGGCGGCAUCCUGGACCGACACUGACGCUGAGGAGCGAAAGCCAGGGGAGCAAACGGG
rnacentral:rRNA from 1 species